rnacentral:piRNA from 1 species
UNGAUGUCGGGAAACUUGGCAGAGGUCUCA